rnacentral:rRNA from 1 species
GAUGAACGCUGGCGGCGUGCCUAAUACAUGCAAGUCGAACGAACAGAUGAGGAGCUUGCUCCUCUGACGUUAGCGGCGGACGGGUGAGUAACACGUGGAUAACCUACCUAUAAGACUGGGAUAACUUCGGGAAACCGGAGCUAAUACCGGAUAAUAUAUUGAACCGCAUGGUUCAAUAGUGAAAGACGGUUUUGCUGUCACUUAUAGAUGGAUCCGCGCCGCAUUAGCUAGUUGGUAAGGUAACGGCUUACCAAGGCAACGAUGCGUAGCCGACCUGAGAGGGUGAUCGGCCACACUGGAACUGAGACACGGUCCAGACUCCUACGGGAGGCAGCAGUAGGGAAUCUUCCGCAAUGGGCGAAAGCCUGACGGAGCAACGCCGCGUGAGUGAUGAAGGUCUUCGGAUCGUAAAACUCUGCUAUUAGGGAAGAACAAAUGUGUAAGUAACUAUGCACGUCUUGACGGUACCUAAUCAGAAAGCCACGGCUAACUACGUG